GUCGAACGCUCCGCAAGGGGAGUGGCGCACGGGUGAGUAACACGUGGGAACCUACCUUCUGGUACGGAACAACCAAGGGAAACUUUGGCUAAUACCGUAUACGACCUCCGGGUGAAAGAUUUAUCGCCGGAAGAGGGGCCCGCGUCCGAUUAGGUAGUUGGUGAGGUAACGGCUCACCAAGCCGACGAUCGGUAGCUGGUCUGAGAGGAUGACCAGCCACACUGGGACUGAGACACGGCCCAGACUCCUACGGGAGGCAGCAGUGGGGAAUAUUGGACAAUGGGCGCAAGCCUGAUCCAGCCAUGCCGCGUGAGUGAUGAAGGCCUUCGGGUUGUAAAGCUCUUUCACCCACGACGAUGAUGACGGUAGUGGGAGAAGAAGCCCCGGCUAACUUCGUGCCAGCAGCCGCGGUAAUACGAAGGGGGCAAGCGUUGUUCGGAAUGACUGGGCGUAAAGGGCGCGUAGGCGGUUCGUUGCGUCAGAUGUGAAAGCCCCGGGCUCAACCUGGGAACUGCAUUUGAUACGGGCGGGCUUGAAUCCAAGAGAGGGUGGUGGAAUUCCCAGUGUAGAGGUGAAAUUCGUAGAUAUUGGGAAGAACACCAGUGGCGAAGGCGGCCACCUGGCUUGGUAUUGACGCUGAGGCGCGAA
rnacentral:rRNA from 1 species